rnacentral:lncRNA from 1 species
UUAGUCAUAAUAAAGAGAUAUCCGUUUAUCUCUUCAUUCAUAAUGAAGAAACUUCCAAUGAUGGAUUAGAUUCAUAAUCUAAUACAUUUACGCUUCCAUUACGUUACUCUAAUUCUUCCUCGAUCUUUGAGGAAUUUAUCCUUUAAUAUUUCUUAAAUACUUAAGGACUCACUUGACAGUUGCCAUGGUUCUGAUCCUGGGCUUGCACUGAUAUCGUCUU